GGGGAGAAAGAGGUGAGAACGGGGAAAGAGAGAUGGGGAGAAAGAGGUGAGAUCAGGGAAAAAGAGGUGGGGGAGAAAGAGGUGAGAUCGGGUAAAGAGAGAUGCGGGAGAAAGAGGUGAGAACGGGAAAGAGAGAUGGGGAGAAAAAGGUGAGAACGAGGAAAGAGAGUUGGGGAGAAAGAGGUGAGAACGAGGAAAGAGAGGUAGGGGGAGAAAGAGGUGAGAACAGGGAAAGAGAGAUGGGGAGAAAGAGGUGAGAUCAGGGAAAAAGAGGUGGGGGAGAAAGAGGUGAGAGAAAGGGAAAGAGAGAUGGGGGAGAAAGAAGUGAGAACGGGGAAAGAGAGAUGGGGGAGAAAGAGGUGAGAUCAGGGAAAAAGAGGUGGGGGAGAAAGAGGUGAGAUCGGGUAAAGAGAGAUGCGGGAGAAAGAGGUGAGAACGGGGAAAGAGAGAUAGGGAGAAAAAGGUGAGAACGAGGAAAGAGAGUUGGGGGAGAAAGAGGUGAGAACGGGGAAAGAGAGAUGGGGAGAAAAAGAGAGAGACAGAGAAUGAGAGGUGGGGGAAAAGAGGUGAGAUAGGGGAAAGAGAGAUGGGGAGAAAGAGGUGAGAACGGGGAAAGAGAGGUGGGGGGAGAAAGAGGUGAGAACGGGGAAAGAGAGAUGGGGGAGAAAGAGGUGAGAUCAGGGAAAA
ensembl:lncRNA